AACAGCAAAUCAUUAACACAAUCUGUUUAGAUAAAGGACUUCACUAGGUGUCAGCUCGAUAGAGGGGGCACUGACACACACACUACCCAGUUUCCUAAUGAAAUCGGCUUCUAUUAUCUCUCGCGUGAGCUGUGUCUCGCUAAAACCUCCGUAUCUUCAAAGAGGGGCUCGCAGCCGACGCAGUCGCAAUCUCGGCAAUAGAUGCCCAAGUGGCCUUGAACAGUGUUAUGCGCGUUAUUGUGGUGUUCCCUUAGGCGAUCAUUUAAGCCCCUGCCGGUCUGUCCAACAUAUUUACUUCCGCAAAACGGGGGAACCUGGUAAACCACAUUAGUUGCGCAUGUAACAAAACGUUUUUUGUGCGCGACAGAGCAACAACUCUGAUGUGAUUUGGGCGCAUUGACACGUUUACAGAGCCUUGCCAGCUUUUCCGGGGCUCAGACAACUACAUUGAUUCCUGCACGCUGCCCAAUGUUUUUUAGUCUAUGGGAGACAUCAGUGAAUACACGCGACCACUGCAACCCAGCGCUUUUCCACCGGCUGGCUCCGUGACUGAGCGGCCUCAUCACGUUUGGUGCGCUUAAGAAGCUGUUCUGCUAUGGCUGAAAUUACGGCCACAGGGUAUCCAGCACAAAAAAGGUGACCAACCUGUGCGGCAAAACUAUGUUGCAUGCCGUGCGGACAUGAUUUAUUGAGGCUAUUGACUGAGCAUAAAUUUAUAAUAGCUCAUUUAACGAGCUUUGAGUGUGCCGAAUUAACGGGAAAGAGUGGCUUUUCACUCCUAGGUUCGAAGAACCAGCACACAUGUAUGUUAGAAAGGCUCAGCCUGAGAUCUAGAAACCGUAAGGAAUUAUCCAUGGGAAGCUCGUGUGUAAGUUCCAAAUGCUGCAGCUCUUUCUUAAAUAUGCUAAAACUCCAGACGCUGCAGGCUCGAAACUGUUAUCAGUGCAAUCAAUAAACACCAGGAAGUCAUCAACAAA